AGAUUGAACGCUGGCGGCAUGCUUUACACAUGCAAGUCGAACGGCAGCACGGGGGCAACCCUGGUGGCGAGUGGCGAACGGGUGAGUAAUAUAUCGGAACGUACCCGGAAAUGGGGGAUAACGUAGCGAAAGUUACGCUAAUACCGCAUAUGCCCUGAGGGGGAAAGCGGGGGAUUCGUAAGAGCCUCGCGUUUUCGGAGCGGCCGAUAUCGGAUUAGCUAGUAGGUGAGGUAAAGGCUCACCUAGGCGACGAUCCGUAGCUGGUCUGAGAGGACGACCAGCCACACUGGAACUGAGACACGGUCCAGACUCCUACGGGAGGCAGCAGUGGGGAAUUUGGACAAUGGGCGCAAGCCUGAUCCAGCCAUGCCGCGUGAGUGAAGAAGGCCUUCGGGUUGUAAGCUCUUUCAGACCGGAAAGAAACGACGACGGUUAAUACCGUGUGUGAUGACGGUACGGAAGAAGAAGCGACCGACUAACUACGUAGCCACGACGACGCCGAC
rnacentral:rRNA from 1 species